GAUGAACGCUGGCGGCGUGCCUAAUACAUGCAAGUCGAGCGAGCAGAUGAGGAGCUUGCUCCUCUGACGUUAGCGGCGGACGGGUGAGUAACACGUGGAUAACCUACCUAUAAGACUGGGAUAACUUCGGGAAACCGGAGCUAAUACCGGAUAAUAUAUUGAACCGCAUGGUUCAAUAGUGAAAGACGGUUUUGCUGUCACUUAUAGAUGGAUCCGCGCCGCAUUAGCUAGUUGGUAAGGUAACGGCUUACCAAGGCAACGAUGCGUAGCCGACCUGAGAGGGUGAUCGGCCACACUGGAACUGAGACACGGUCCAGACUCCUACGGGAGGCAGCAGUAGGGAAUCUUCCGCAAUGGGCGAAAGCUUGACGGAGCAACGCCGCGUGAGUGAUGAAGGUCUUCGGAUCGUAAAACUCUGUUAUUAGGGAAGAACAAAUGUGUAAGUAACUAUGCACGUCUUGACGGUACCUAAUCAGAAAGCCACGGCUAACUACGUG
rnacentral:rRNA from 1 species